rnacentral:sRNA from 1 species
UGAACUCAGAGAUUUCCUUGCCUCAGUCUCCUGGGAUUAAAGAAACUUGUGUCUUCUAGCCUCAAGAUCUGGACCACAGGGACAUCCGCCAAUUCUGGAUUGCAGGUCACUCCAGAGGCCAAGAAGCAGCAGCACAGGGGUGAAGUCUGUGACCAGGAGCCUGAGAUCAGGGCAGCUCCCAGCCCCAUGCCCGACAUAUGGCCAACAGACACCUGGUUUUAGUCACACCCUGUAAAACCCAGCUGAGACUGAGGGAAACCUGCCACCAGUUCCUGGAUUAGAAGAGGGAAGGCUGUGAUGUCUAUCCAGUGGUUCUCCAUAUGAGCCUCAGGUAUGAACGCUGUUGCCAUACUUGUAAGUGGCAUGGGCGCUGGGGGGGCAUUGCAGGGAGCUGCUGAGGUGUAACUGCAGUAACAAAACUGGGCAUUUCUUUAAAAAAAAAGAUAUUUGUAUUCUUUUAAAUGUGUGUUUGUGUGUGGGUAUGUGGAUGUGAGCCCAGGUGCCCACAGAGUUUGGAAGAAUGGGGAGGGGGGUGCAGAUUGUCUAGAGCUGGAUUUCCACUAAGGCAGCUGGUGCUCACGUUGA